UCCACUGCUAAAUAUGUUACCCUCAAGCCCGAAGCUUUAAACGAUAAGUCAGAGUCAAUAUCAGCAUUCAAACCUUUUCACUCUUCUGCUUUCCAAGCUCUGCAGAAUAGCCGUAGUUGUUCAUCUCAACAAGUGUUACCUGAAAAGACAGAUGACAUGGGACCGAACUCGUGUCAAUCACAAUUGAGAGGGUCACACCAUUCAGUUCAAGCAGAGAAUCACCACCACCACCACCACCACCACCAUCAUUAUCAUCAGCAUGGUCACAGCAUGCAUCUCCAUCAGUCCCCACAGGACCAUGAUGAUCUCUCGUCCAAGGCUAUGGCAGCUGCAGCUCCACAGUGUGGGUCAUCAAAUGUAUUUGAGAGCAACAAUGAUGGUGAUGUUGGAAAUUAUGAUGUGAACGGCCGUAUCUGUUCAUCUCAACCGCUUUUACCUGAAAAGACGGAUGAUAUGGGACUUAACUCAGGUCAAUCACAAUUGAGAGGGUCACACCAUUCAGUUCAAGUGGAGAAUCACCACCACCACUACCACCGUCAUUAUCAUCAGCACGACCACAACAUGCAGCAGUCACCAC
rnacentral:lncRNA from 1 species